UGCAGUGAAGGAGGGGUAGCUUCUGAAACAGAUAAGAGAGGAACAUACAAUCCCAGUAUCUUCCCUGCAGCAUUCAGGGAGCUCAGAACAAAUUAGGUGGUGUCGUAUAAUGUCAUCCACGGAUCUCGGGGCCCUCCAGCUUCUGUCAGUGUUUGGGGGACUGGGGUGAUUUGCCAAUUGCGUGCUACAGUAGAAUGAAGAGGAAAUGGAAUUGCUAACAGCACUGAACAUUUUCUCCCAAGCCCUGACUUUGUCCUGUCUCCUGGCCCUCCACAAUACAGCGAGUGCUUGAAUAACAGAAAAGACAAACCAGGCGCUCCAUGAGAUGCUCCAAGCCUGCAGGAACUCUGCGUGCCUGGGGAAAAGGCUCUUUGUGAAGAAAUUGAUAAUUUUCUCCCAGACUGCUGGUGCCCGAAUCAGGAAGCGCUGCAGGAAGGCACAGAUCGGUUCCCUCUGGCUUUGCACGUACCAAGGGGGAUGGUGAUGUCCCUGGGUCCCUGUGGACAGCAAGAGGUUCCCCUAAGGUGAUAGAGUCACCUUGGAGAGGGUGCCAUUUAAGAAGAAAAAUACCCAUCUAGAAGACAGUGAGGAUCUCAGGGCUCAGGAUGCAGCUCCCAUCCUUACCAUCUGGGAUGGCUGUGGAAUUUCCGGCCAUUGGAUCUGUGUUCCCGACAACAGCAGGAAAAGUGGAAAGGAAAGCAUGUACUCCUGUCUUAGGAUUUGGCUCAAGCGCUACACAAUGCACCCUGAGGUCAACAUUUGGUCUUGCGGUCUCAUCCCAGCUACGAGCGAGGCUUAGAGACGACACAGCCCUAUAUCCGGGCUGUAACGUGCUCGGCUAACAAUAGGCAUUCUGCUCACGGAGGAGGAGGAUGCAGAUUUGAUAAUCAAGGAGGAAUCUCUGCCGAAGCCCCACGCUUGCAUUAGGCAUUAUCAUGGGG
rnacentral:lncRNA from 1 species